rnacentral:rRNA from 1 species
AUUGAACGCUGGCGGUAUGCUUAACACAUGCAAGUCGAACGGUAGCAGGCCUUCGGGUGCUGACGAGUGGCGGACGGGUGAGUAACGCGUAGGAAUCUGCCUAUUAGUGGGGGACAACGUGGGGAAACCCACGCUAAUACCGCAUACGCCCCACGGGGGAAAGCGGGGGCCCUUCGGGCCUCGCGCUAAUAGAUGAGCCUGCGUUGGAUUAGCUUGUUGGUAAGGUAAUGGCUUACCAAGGCGACGAUCCAUAGCUGGUCUGAGAGGACGAUCAGCCACACUGGGACUGAGACACGGCCCAGACUCCUACGGGAGGCAGCAGUGGGGAAUAUUGGACAAUGGGCGAAAGCCUGAUCCAGCAAUACCGCGUGUGUGAAGAAGGCCUGAGGGUUGUAAAGCACUUUCAAUGGGGAGGAACACCGACUGGCUAAUACUCAGUCGCUUGACAUUACCCAUACAAGANGCACAGGAUAACUCCGUGCCAGCAGCAGCGGUAAGA